rnacentral:rRNA from 1 species
AUUGAACGCUGGCGGCAGGCCUAACACAUGCAAGUCGAACGAGUGGCGGACGGGUGAGUAAUGUCUGGGAAAUUGCCUGAUGGAGGGGGAUAACUACUGGAAACGGUAGCUAAUACCGCAUACCAUCAGAUGUGCCCAGAUGGGAUUAGCUAGUUGGUGGGGUAACGGCUCACCAAGGCGACGAUCCCUAGCUGGGCUGAGAGGAUGACCAGCCACACUAGUACUAAAGCACGGUCCAGACUCCGACGGGAGGCAGCAGUGGGGAAUAUUGCACAAUUGGCGCAAGCCUGAUGCAGCCAUGCCGCGGGUAUGAAGAAGGCCUUCGGGUUGUAAAGUACUUUCAGCAGGGAGGCGUUACCCGCAGAAGAAGCACCGGCUAACUCCGUGCCAACCGCCGCGGUAAUAC